UACGGAGGGAGCUAGCGUUGUUCGGAAUUACUGGGCGUAAAGCGCACGUAGGCGGCUUUGUAAGUUAGAGGUGAAAGCCCGGGGCUCAACCCCGGAACUGCCUUUAAGACUGCAUCGCUUGAAUCCAGGAGAGGUGAGUGGAAUUCCGAGUGUAGAGGUGAAAUUCGUAGAUAUUCGGAAGAACACCAGUGGCGAAGGCGACUUACUGGACACAUAUUGACGCUGAGGUGCGAAAGCGUGGGGAGCAAACAGG
rnacentral:rRNA from 1 species